rnacentral:tRNA from 1 species
GGGUCUAUAGUUUAGUGGAUAGAAUAACGGACUUCGGAAGGCUUACUCUCUUUAGAAAAGAGAGUUUCCCUGCAAGUCAGAGAAACAAUAAUGGUGAAUAAAUCCAAGCACUGAAGAUAUCCGUGGACGGGGGUUCGAUUCCUCCUAGACCCG